rnacentral:tRNA from 1 species
GCUGGGAUGGCGGAAUUGGUAUACGCACCACGCUUAGGACGUGGCGCCGAAAGGCAUGGAGGUUCGAGUCCUCUUCCCAGCA